rnacentral:rRNA from 1 species
AGUGAACGCUGGCGGCGUGCCUAAUACAUGCAAGUCGAACGGAGUGGCGCACGGGUGAGUAAUGUAUACAUAAUCUGCCCAACACUAGAGGACAACCGUUGGAAACGGCUGCUAAUACUUUAUAGUGUAGGAUGAGGCUAUAUUGUAUCAGCUAGUUGGGGAGGUAAUGCCUCCCCAAGGCUAUGACGCAUAACUGGUCUGAGAGGAUGAUCAGUCACCCUGGAACUGAGGCACGGUCGAGACUCCUACGGGAGGCAGCAGUAGGGAAUAUUGCUCAAUGGGGGAAACCCUGAAGCAGCAACGCCGCGUGGAGGAUGACACUUUUCGGAGCGUAACCUCCUUUUGUUAGGGAAGCGGUACCUAACGAAUAAGCACCGGCUAACUCCGUGCCAGCCGCCGCGGUAAUUC